rnacentral:tRNA from 1 species
UGGGGAUGUAGCUCAAUGGUAGAGUGCUCACCUAGCAUGUGUGGGGUCUUGGGUUCAAUCCUCAGUACUAA